rnacentral:rRNA from 1 species
GCGAAUACCGGAGAAUGUUAUCACGGGAGACACACGGCGGGUGCUAACGUCCGUCGUGAAGAGGGAAACAACCCAGACCGCCAGCUAAGGUCCCAAAGUCAUGGUUAAGUGGGAAACGAUGUGGGAAGGCCCAGACAGCCAGGAUGUUGGCUUAGAAGCAGCCAUCAUUUAAAGAAAGCGUAAUAGCUCACUGGUCGAGUCGGCCUGCGCGGAAGAUGUAACGGGGCUAAACCAUGCACCGAAGCUGCGGCAGCGAACGUAUCACCCAAGACAACUUUACGGAGUUGACGAUUGACGGAGCGAAGCGACGUCAAAGCGUAUACAAAGUCGAGUUGGCUUAGGGAUACGUUCGUUGGGUAGGGGAGCGUUCUGUAAGCCUGUGAAGGUGGCCUGUGAGGGUUGCUGGAGGUAUCAGAAGUGCGAAUGCUGACAUAAGUAACGAUAAAGCGGGUGAAAAGCCCGCUCGCCGGAAGACCAAGGGUUCCUGUCCAACGUUAAUCGGGGCAGGGUGAGUCGACCCCUAAGGCGAGGCCGAAAGGCGUAGUCGAUGGGAAACGGGUUAAUAUUCCCGUACUUGGUGUUACUGCGAAGGGGGGACGGAGAAGGCUAUGUUGGCCGGGCGACGGUUGUCCCGGUUUAAGCGUGUAGGUGUGUGUUCCAGGUAAAUCCGGUUCACUUUAACACUGAGGCGUGACGACGAGGCACUACGGUGCUGAAGCAACAAAUGCCCUGCUUCCAGGAAAAGCCUCUAAGCAUCAGGUAACAUCAAAUCGUACCCCAAACCGACACAGGUGGUCAGGUAGAGAAUACCAAGGCGCUUGAGAGAACUCGGGUGAAGGAACUAGGCAAAAUGGUGCCGUAACU